GAUGAAGAACGUAGCGAAAUGCGAUAAGUAAUGUGAAUUGCAGAAUUCGGUGAAUCAUCGAAUCUUUGAACGCACAUUGCGCCCGGUAGUAAUCUGCCGGGCAUGCCUGUCCGAGCGUCAUUUCAACCCUCGAACCACUAUUCGCGUAGCUGGAUCGGUGUUGGGGCACUACGGUGGAAUACCCGUAGGCCCCGAAAUGAAGUGGCGGUCCCGCCGCGGCGCCCCCAUGCGUAGUAACAUCUCGUCUCGCAUCGGGUCCCGGCGGAGGCCUGCCGUCAAGCCUAUUUUCUAAUUACAGAUGGUUUGACCUCGGAUCAGGUAGGGUUACCCGCUGAACUUAAGCAUAUCAAUAAGCGGAGGA
rnacentral:misc_RNA from 1 species